rnacentral:rRNA from 1 species
GACGGAGGGGGCAAGCGUUGUUCGGAGUUACUGGGCGUAAAGGGCGCGUAGGCGGCUUCUUAAGUGAGAGGUGAAAGCCCUGGGCUCAACCCGGGAAAUGCACGUGGAACUGGGAGGCUUGAGUGCGGGAGAGGAUGCUGGAAUUCCCAGUGUAGAGGUGAAAUUCGUAGAUAUUGGGUGGAACACCGGUGGCGAAGGCGGCCCUCUGGCCCCUAGCUGACGCUGAGGCGCGAAAGCGUGGGGAGCAAACAGG